GACGAACGCUGGCGGCGUGCCUAAUACAUGCAAGUCGAACGCUGAAGAGAGGCGCUUGCUCUUCUUGGAUGAGUUGCGCACGGGUGAGUAACGCGUAGGUAACCUGCCUGGUAGCGGGGGAUAACUAUUGGAAACGAUAGCUAAUACCGCAUAAAAUGGAUUAUCGCAUGAUAAUCCAUUGAAAGGUGCAAAUGCAUCACUACCAGAUGGACCUGCGUUGUAUUAGCUAGUUGGUGGGGUAACGGCUCACCAAGGCGACGAUACAUAGCCGACCUGAGAGGGUGGUCGGCCAAACUGGGAAUGAGACACGGGCCAGACUCCUACGGGAGGCAGCAGUAGGGAAUCUUCGGCAAUGGACGGAAGUCUGACCGAGCAAAGCCGCGUGAGUGAAGAAGGGUUUCGGAUCGUAAAGCUCUGUUGUAAGAGGAGAACGAGUGUGAGGGUGGAAAGUUCACACUGUGACGGUAUCUUACCAGAAAGGGACGGCUAACUACGUG
rnacentral:rRNA from 1 species